CAGUCAGUAGUUCAAAGGUUGGAUAAAAUCAGAAGAAACUUCUUAUGGCAAGGCAAUAAGGAAAGGAAAGGUUUUCAUUUGGUCAAAUGGAAGAACAUUAUCAGAAGCAAAGAACAAGGUGGACUAGGCAUCAAGAACCUUAAAUACCAAAGCAAAGCACUCAAGGUCAAGUGGCUAUGGAGGUACCAUCAGGAGGACCAAGCACUCUGGUACAGGGUAAUCAAGAGCAAGUAUGAGCAACUGAACACAUGGGUAACUAAAGAGGUCAACACCCCUUAUGGUAUUAGCCUCUGGAAAUCCAUUAGAAUAUUCUGGCAGUUUCUUAGUAAUCAAUUAACUGUCAAAGUUCGAAAUGGCAGAAAAACAAGUUUUUGGAUUGAUAAAUGGAUGGGUACUGUGAGCCUUAAAGAUCUCUUUCCUGACAUCUUUGUUUUGGCUCAACACCAAGAGAAAACUGUUGCUGAAAUGUGGUCACCACAAGGAUGGAAUAUGAUCUUUAGAAGAAACUUGAAUGACUGGGAAAUUCCCAGAAUGAUUGAACUCUUCACACUUCUGGAGAGUUUCCAAGGAAUCCAAACAGGUGAAGACUAUUUAUGGUGGCAUGGGCACAACAAAGGAAGAUACAGGGUGAAGGAAGGAUAUAAACAAACAAGUCUUAGGGAGAAUCAAGACUUCAAAUGGCCUUGGAAGCAAAUCUGGAGAGUCAAAGUGCCACAAAAAGUGGCAUGCUUCACCUGGCUGCUAGCCAAUGAAGCAGUUCUGACAUUGGACAAUGUGGCCAAGAGAGGUAUAUCUCUAUGCAACAGAUGCUCCUUAUGUGGUAAGGAUACAACAGUAAAACACCUCUUUCUACACUGCAAUUUCACUGACCAACUGUGGCAGAUUUUCCUUAAUCUCAGAGGCAUUUCCUGGAGUAUGCCUAGCAAGAUUGAUGAGACUCUUUUCAGUUGGGAGGAGGCUGGAGUUGGGGCUACAAACAGAGAAAGAUGGAGGAUGAUCCCUGCUUGUAUAUGGUGGACUAUAUGGAGAGAGAGAAAUGAUAGAUGCCCUUAUGGUAUUAGCCUCUGGAAAUCCAUUAGAAUAUUCUGGCAGUUUCUCAGUAAUCAAUUAACUGUCAAAGUUCGAAAUGGCAGAAAAACAAGUUUUUGGAUUGAUAAAUGGAUGGGUACUGUGAGCCUUAAAGAUCUCUUUCCUGACAUCUUUGUUUUGGCUCAACACCAAGAGAAAACUGUUGCUGAAAUGUGGUCACCACAAGGAUGGAAUAUGAUCUUUAGAAGAAACUUGAAUGAUUGGGAAAUUCCUAGAAUGAUUGAACUUUUCAAGCUACUGGAGAGUUUCCAAGGAAUCCAAACAGGUGAAGACUAUUUAUGGUGGCAUGGGCACAACAAAGGAAGAUACAGGGUGAAGGAAGGAUAUAAACAAACAAGUCUUAGGGAGAAUCAAGACUUCAAAUGGCCUUGGAAGCAAAUCUGGAGAGUCAAAGUGCCACAAAAAGUGGCAUGCUUCACCUGGCUGCUAGCCAAUGAAGCAGUUCUGACAUUGGACAAUGUGGCCAAGAGAGGUAUAUCUCUAUGCAACAGAUGCUCCUUAUGUGGUAAGGAUACAACAGUAAAACACCUCUUUCUACACUGCAAUUUCACUGACCAACUGUGGCAGAUUUUCCUUAAUCUCAGAGGCAUUUCCUGG
rnacentral:lncRNA from 1 species